CCAGCCUCCUGAGCUUCCCCACCCCUCCCCGCCUCCCAGGACUGCCCAGGGCUUCCUGGCCUCGCCCAGACCUCAGACCCCAAAAUACCCUGGGUCUGGCCUCACCUGCCCUCCACCAGAAGCGGCCCUGGCUCAUGCACGAGGCGAGCCUCUGAGCUUUCCUCUUCCCUCCACCUUGUUCUGAAAGGGGCUGUGGGACCCCUGGCCCUGGGACCUGGGACACAAGACCCCAGGCCUCCAUGGAGACCCCCUAUAGGGGUGUUCCCAGAAGGCCCCUCGGUCACUGCUCCCCGGCCAUGGUCUUGCCUCCUCCAGGAUGGCCCCCAGGACUGCACGCCCUGCACCCUGGGCUCCUGGAAUGUUUGCUCCCAAUGGACUGUAGCAGGGUCACAGCAAGAAUCAGGAGGGGCUGCGGACUGUGCGUUGGUUUUACGCAAGGAGCUCAGGGUCCUCUUCCAGUCUCUCGAAAAGAGGGAGACAAAUGGGGGCCGGUGACCCCAACUCCCACCAGCCCCUGACUGGGCCUCACCUCCCCAGGGCUGGCUCUCUUCCCCGCGCUGCUUGGCCUCCCCACAGGGGACGUGUUAACACGACCAAACACCCAGACCGCAGAGCAGGUCACGUGGUUUCCCAGAAACAGCCUGUGCUGAGCAGCCACCCGGGCGGGCAGGAGGUGCAGGCAGCAGGGGCGCGCUGCUCAGCACGUCUCAGCGCACGUCUGAGUCCGGCCGAGUCAGGCACCCGCUAUGUCUCCUCGCUGAGGGUGAGACCUGAUACCUGGAGAAGAUGCCAUUAUCAGAGGAUGAUUUAACGUUCGUGGCUGUGGUUGCUGCUGUUACUGCUGCUGUGGUGUACGCCGUGGGCUACAGCAUUAGGAGAGUACGGGGAGCGAACGAGCAGGAAGACGACAGGGAGCUCAGGAAGCCACCUGAUAAAUCCACCUAGAGGCCAAGAGCCAGCACACCUGUGAUUCCCUGAUGAGCCACAGGGAAAAGCGAGUCACCAAAUCUCGAGGCGCCGGGAGGAGACGCGGCCUGCAGCUCCCGCGCUGCCCCUGUGGGAGUGACCAGACUCAACCUUUGGGCCGAAAAUGAAAAGCGUGGCCACCCCUUUGCGAGCCUGCCGCGUGCUCACUGCUGCUCCCCUGCCCACCCCUGGGCCCUCUCUCGUCACCAGCUGCCCUCUGCGGCCCGCACCCCCCUCAGGGCCUGGAAAGGGAGAAACUCCCCCACCUGUCCUAGCCCCCGCCCAGUUGCGGGGGCUCCACCACAGCCUCCGUGCCCCAGCAGGACUGACCCGGCUUCACCUCACGCCCACGCUGGCGCCUCUGCCCAGACCCCACAGGUCAGGCCCCGACUGGGACUCUUCAGGAUGCAUGGCCGGUCCAGGGUCACCCACCUCGUGUCCAGCGUGACCCCACCUCAUAGCCCCGGCUCACUCGUGCGCCGCAGUGACCCAGGGCCGGGGAAGUUUCCUCUCUAGGUACCGACUUCUCGUCAGGUCGGUCCCAGCGUCCGGGUGGGCAAGGUGGGGCGCAGGCUGGGGCUCCAUGCCCCCUGCUCCUCGGGGCAGGGCCAGGGCUCAAGCGGGGACCCCGAACUCUUCCAGGCCUUUCAUGGAGGCCUGGUCUGCAGGCCCCGCUGUAAAGCACGUACAGAGCUGACAGCAAGGCGUGCACAUGAGCCAAAAGGGAAACUAAGAACAUGUUAAGAUGCAUGGGGACUGCACCCCUCACAUCUGGGGCCGGGUAGGGGGGGAGCAAAUAUUGUUGAAAAUGAAAAAUGAUGUAAAAAGUUUUAAAAAAUAAAAAAUAAAGACUCCACUGAGGUGCCUGCAAGCGUUGCAUGAAGGCAGCUGCGGCCACCUCCUGGGUGUGAAGGACGGAUGAACACAGGCGCGGGCGGAUCAAAGGAGCAGGUGCACGACGCAGCCUCGGAGCAGCCCCAACACUGGCUCUGAGCGAAGUAUUCACCCGAAGCUGCGCUGUGGAGUCCAGUUCGCGGCCCUCCUUGGAAUCAGACUGCUCUCCCGCCGGAACCUCUCCUCACUCCCCGGCCCCGGCACCCCUCUGCGGGCCCUCGAGCCCAGACAGUUCCAGGCCCGAGCACUCCCACCUGGGGACGGCUGGCUAAGGCACGUCGCAGCCACUGUCUUCAGUCAGAGAUACUCUGGGAAUUGGGGUGGGCUCACCUGUGUGGACGUAAAUGUGUGUGACCAAUACAGUA